rnacentral:rRNA from 1 species
CCUACGGGAGGCUGCAGUGAGGGAUAUUGGUCAAUGGGGGAAACCCUGAACCAGCAACGCCGCGUGAGGGAAGACGGUUUUCGGAUUGUAAACCUCUGUCCUCUGGGAAGAGAAUGACGGUAGCAGAGGAGGAAGCUCCGGCUAACGACGUGCCAGCAGCCGCGGUAAUACGUAGGGAGCAAGCGUUGUCCGGAUUUACUGGGUGUAAAGGGUGCGUAGGCGGCCCUGCAAGUCAGAAGUGAAAUCCAUGGGCUUAACCCGUGAACUGCUUUUGAAACUGUAGGGCUUGAGUGAAGUAGAGGCAGGCGGCAUUCCCGGUGUAGCGGUGAACUGCGUAGAGAUCGGGAGGAACACCAGUGGCGAAGGCGGCUUACUGGACUGUACCUGACGUUGAGGCUCGACAGCGUGGGGAGCAAAC